GGUUGGCUCUGCAUCCGCCCCUGUUUGAGAGAUGAGUUUUUCAACUUCCUUUUCCGAUUCUCCUUCUCUUCAGUCGGAUUCUCCUUCUUCUUCAGUUGGAUUUGUAUGUUCUGCUGAGUUGCUUCUCUCUAUCCAUCACUCUUUCAAAGUGUGAAUUUUUUGUUGGCCUGAAAAAGGUAAUAUGGAGGACUUGUUGCACCCCUUACAUACUACGCUUGGCUGGAGUAUCAAUUUUUGUAAUCUUAACAGGAGAUAUAACAAUUAAUUCGAUGCAAGAAGAGAGGCCAUUAGGAUUCAAACUCUACAUGUAGUAGUGCUACUCGAGCAGUCAAGACCUCCUAAAGAUAGAUUUGAAGUCAUCUCCUUAGAUACUAUACAAUCACUCUUUCUGGGAUUGUUAAUAAAUUAGUUAUUUCAUGUAAUUAGUCAUUCCUCUUUGUUAUGAAAAUUUUCUUUGUUAUGAAAAUUUUAAUAUGUCUAGCAACUCUUGGGGAAAAUAUUUAGCGAAUGAUUUCCACGAAGAACCUAUGUUUUAUGGAUGUUCUUUCAAAGAUGCUAACUCAUAAAAUGCACCCUUUUCACAUUGUGAAGUUUGAUGUUGGGCCCGUGCAUCGCACGGGCAUCCGUUGCUAGUUCAUCAAUAAGCUUACCUCGUGCCAACAUAUUUAGAAUUUUAGUAAAUUUGAUGUUACUAUCCAAUUGGAUCUUUCGUGCUUCUUUGUUUAGUAAGUAGAAACGGAAAAUCUUUAGGAUAAAUCAAGAAUGUUCGGAUCUUCUAAAUUUGUAAAAAGAAUGUUUUUACAUUGUCAUCCCUUGUAAGCAUCACGACAUAAUGUAUAACACAUUUUACCCGGUGAAGAUGUAAAUGGAAUUCCUAGGUAUAUACCUUCUGUUUAUUAUAUUUCUGUGUAAUUUGGGACCUCUGUUUCCAUUUUUCUUAGCCCUUUGGACGGAAGACAGUAAAUUUAAAUAAACAAUGACACAUGUGAAACGUGGGAGGAACCCUAUAUGCAUGAUACAAAAAGUAGAGUGAUCACAAAUUAGAAAACCAAAUGAAUCUAUGAAGUGUAUUUUGCAAAGUGAAAUCGACGUA